UGAGGAAUAUUGGACAAUGGGCGAGAGCCUGAUCCAGCCAUGCCGCGUGCAGGAAGACGGCCCUAUGGGUUGUAAACUGCUUUUACAGAGGAAGAACCCUCCUUACGUGUAAGGAGCUGACGGUACUCUAUGAAUAAGGAUCGGCUAACUCCGUGCCAGCAGCCGCGGUAAUACGGAGGAUCCAAGCGUUAUCCGGAAUCAUUGGGUUUAAAGGGUCCGUAGGCGGGUCUAUAAGUCAGUGGUGAAAGUCUGCAGCUUAACUGUAGAACUGCCAUUGAUACUGUAGACCUUGAAUUAGUAUGAAGUGGUUAGAAUGUGUAGUGUAGCGGUGAAAUGCAUAGAUAUUACACAGAAUACCGAUUGCGAAGGCAGAUCACUAAUACUAUAUUGACGCUGAUGGACGAAAGCGUAGGUAGCGAACAGG
rnacentral:rRNA from 1 species